rnacentral:piRNA from 1 species
UAUAUAAGGGCAAUAAAGGGAAUUGU